UACCAGCACCCCGAGUGGUCGGGACGAUUAUUGGUCCUAAAGCAUCCGUAGCCGGUUCUACAAGUCUUCCGUUAAAUCCACCUGCUUAACAGAUGGGCUGCGGAGGAUACUAUAGAGCUAGGAGGCGGGAGAGGCAAGCGGUACUCAGUGGGUAGGGGUAAAAUCCUCUGAUCCAUUGAAGACCACCAGUGGCGAAGGCGGCUUGCCAGAACGCGCUCGACGGUGAGGGAUGAAAGCUGGGGGAGCAAACCGG
rnacentral:rRNA from 1 species